AACUUGGCGGCAUAUUGCAGACCAGUGCUUUUCUCCCGGCAUUUCUUCACGACUGCAAACUGCCCACUGGAGACAGAGGAGGAGAGGUUACAGAUUCUGGGAUAGCAGGAAGGAGCUCCCCGACCUGACCUCCUUCUGACAAGCCUUCUCCUAUAUGGCUAGGAAAACAAGGGAUCAAGACGGGGGAACUGAGAGAAAAAUACAUAGGGCCCUGCUUUCAAUGACAUAUUUCUAGGACCAGUAUUUAUCAGUUGAAACAUCCAGAACAACAACAAUGAAAGCUAUGUAUUUGUUCAUACUUCAGGGAUUGAUAAGCCAUAUAUACAUACUUACCAUUUGUUGGUGGCUUUUCCAGCAUCACACACUUCCCUCCUUUCCCAAAAAUAUCUAUAAUUAGGGAUCCUGCACUUCUGGGGAAGCUGACUCUACCCCCAUAUAUAGAUAUGCAUAGGGUGACUGAGGUUAAGCCAAUCAGUGUACUAUAUCUUCCUGACUCCACUGACAGGCACACGACCUAAGUAAGACCUUUUGGAGGAUGCAGAGACAAAGACCUUUUCUGAGACUCUCUUCUGGAUGUUAAUACUUAACUAUAUGACCCCAAAAGCCACUUCCAGCCAUCUUAGGACUUCAGGAGGAGGUCCACUCUUGGUUUAAAGCCAACCAUUGCAGAGGCAGAGCCAGUAGAAGAAAAGAAACCAGAUUUGUGGUAACACUGUGAAAUGGUGGAUCAACCCUACCCUGAAAGCCAUCUGCCCCUGGAUUUUUCAGCAACAGAAGCCAAUAAAUUCUCUUUACUGCUAA